rfam:Arabidopsis lyrata subsp. lyrata unplaced genomic scaffold ARALYscaffold_2, whole genome shotgun sequence.
UCGAGCCGGAUGAUAAAAAAUUAUCAUGUCCGGUUCCCUCGGGGGAUGGAUCCAUAAGAAUUCACCUAUCCCAAU